AGCAGCCGCGGUAAUUCCAGCUCCAAUAGCGUAUAUUAAAGUUGUUGCAGUUAAAAAGCUCGUAGUUGAAUUUCGGGAUCAGUAUGUUGGUCGUGCUUCGGUACGUACUGUCAUUACUGGUUUCUACCUUCUGAAGAACCUUGAUGUCAUUAAUUUGGUGUCUUGGGGAAUCAGGACUGUUACUUUGAAAAAAUUAGAGUGUUUAAAGCAAGCAUACGCUUGAAUACAUUAGCAUGGAAUAAUGAAAUAGGACGUUUGAUUCUAUUUUGUUGGUUUCUAGGAUCGACGUAAUGAUUAAUAGGGAUAGUUGGGGGUAUUAGUAUUCAAUUGUCAGAGGUGAAAUUCUUGGAUUUAUUGAAGACUAACUACUGCGAAAGCAUUUGCCAAGGANGUUUUCAUUAAUCAAGAACGAAAGUUAGGGGAUCGAAGACGAUCAGAUACCGUCGUAGUCUUAACCAUAAACUAUGCCGACUAGGGAUCGGAUGAUGUUAUUUUUAAUGACUCAUUCGGCGCCUUACGG
rnacentral:rRNA from 1 species